AUGAACCCAGCAGUUUCACGCCUCCUCUGCCUUUGUCAAGGUAAUCAGGCCAUUGAGGACUAUGUGGAGGACUUUUGUGGUUUGUGUCAUCUUGUGGCUUUUAAUGACGUUGCGCUUAAAGACAUUUUUCGAAUAGGUUUAAAUGAACCUAUUCGUUCUCAGUUGCCUGGGGGAAAGAUUUGUUGGUCACUAGAGGAAUAUAUUGACCGAGCUCUUUUGCUGGCUGGUUCAUCAUUUACUGUAGGGAUUGCGGAUGAGGAACACUGCAAUCCUGCAGUAGCCACCAUGCCUGCUAAGCCACGGCCUGCUCACAUCAUGUCUGCUACCCCAGGGUUUGCUCACGUCAUGCCUGCCAAGCCAGCACCUGUUCAUGUCAUGCCUGCUACGCCAGAGCCUACUCAUAUCAUGUCAGUGUCUCAAGAGAUUCUCCACAACAUGGCCGCUAUUCAGGAGCUCCGUCGCAAAAUGGCUGGCACUCAAGAGUCUCUUCAGAAAAUGGCCGCCAUUCUAGAGCCUCGUCACGCCUCAGCUGAGCUUCCGGAGCCUCGUCACGCCUCACCUGAGCUUCCGGAGCCUCGUCACGCCUCAGCUGAGCUUCCGGGGCCUCGUCACGCUUCAGCUGAUCAUCCAGGGUCCCAUCUCGACAUGGUCGCCACUCCAGGGUCCCGUCACGACAUGGCCGCCACUCCAGGGUCCCGUCACGACAUGGCCACCACGCCUGAGUCCCCGGCCAAGAUGGCCACCACGCCUGAGUCCCCGGCCAAGAUGGCCACCACGCCUGAGUCCCCGGCCAAGUUGGCCACCACGCCUGAGUACCCGGCCAAGAUGGCCACCACGCCUGAGUCUCGUCAAGUUUCGGCAGUCACUAAGACUGUUCCCGUGGCCUCAGUACUUCUAGUAAUGGCAGUCACCAUUUUGAGCGUGUGGCCUGCACACUGUGCUCCAGAGACUUUUCCGGUCCACGAGUCUGGGCCGUCCACGAGCUCUCUGCCUGCCCUGUCACGGCCAAGGAGGCCGUCCACAAACUCUCUGCCUGCCCUGUCAUGGCCAAGGAGGCCGUCCAUGAACUCUCUGCCUCCCCUGUCACGGCCAAGGAGGCCGUCCACGAACUCUCUGCCUGUCCUGUCAUGA
ensembl:lncRNA